UCUUCUCUCUCUCUCUCUCUUUCUCUCACUCCAUCGCAGGCGACCCUCUUACCGGCCAUCAUCCACCAUUGUCGCACACGAGCACCCAUCUCCUCACCGGCGAUGGUACAACCCACCUCCCCACCGGUGACGUUACCACCCAUCUCCCCACCAGCGACGGACAAUAGUAGCUACUUUGAUUUGUGUCUUCUCCAGUGCACACCAGGAAGGCAUGGUGGAAUUUAUUGGAAUGUUGAAGGUCAAAGUAUUAAAAGGCAUAAACUUAGCAGUUAGAGAUAUGCUGUCAAGUGAUCCUUACGUUGUCCUAACUCUUGGACAACAGGGCAGUGACUCUCACUUUUGUUUUAUCCUCAAGGCUGAACCUUAUGGGCAUGGACAAGGUCUACAGUUCAUACCUGUAAAUCUUGCUUAUAUGUUGAGAUUCCAAUUCUGAAUUUUAGCACAUUGCCAAAAAAUAAAACUGAAGGAAUAAAAAUUUAAAAGUAAACUAAACCAAAUUAAACUAAGCUAAGCCUUGUGUCUCAGUCAAGUGGGAUCAGUUACAUGAACUGUUUUUCUCCAAGCAUAAUAAAAAGCAACUUGAAUCCAGUAUGGAAUGAGGAACUCAUGCUUUCUGUUCCUUAGAACUUUGGGCCCAUAAAAUUGGUAAGCCUAUCUUCUCAAGGAAAUCUUCAUUAUUAUAAGUCAAUUUUCCUUCUUUCCUUUUCCCUCUUCCCUUUUCUUUUAUAAUAAUCUCAAUAUCUUUGAUGCUUCGAUGCUUCACCAAUGAUAACACAUGGCAUGCUACCUGGUUUCAAACAGUACCAUUAAGUAUGUGCAAAAAUUGUACCCACAUUCUUAGUGUUUGCUCUUAUUGUUUAGAAACCAGUAGGGGCAGCAGCACAAAUAGCUGAUGGUAUUCAAUUGAAUACCCUGACAAAAUAUUAAUACUAAUAAUAGUAUAUGUUGUUGGAAGGUAUUUGCACUAUUGUCAAAUAUUUUGAACACUCUACACCUCAUUUUUUUAUUUGUUUAUUUUUUAAUAUAUACAAACAAAGUUAGCUGGUUGGCCAUGAGUCCAUAUGCAUAUCACUAAAAGGUUAGAGGUUCGAUUUUGUCCAUCAGUGUGUCCCUUGUAUUUGUUUUAGGUAUUUCUUAUGUUUGUUGGAUUUGUUGUACAUUUAUGGUUGUAUGUUGAAUUUUCAAUUUGAUGCAAUUCUCAUAAUAUUGCAAUUUACUUUCUAUUGAUUGAUAAAAAAAAAAAUGUCUACCUUACAAAAAUCCCCAAAGCCGCCUCUAGAAACCAGAAGAAAAUUAUGACAAGACAAUCACAAUGCUCAUCCUCUUCCACUGUGUCUAGUGGCUUGCCUCAGCCUUAACAUUGAAGCUGUAUUUGAUGGACAGUCACAAAAUUUCUGGUCAUUUCUUCUUCCUUUUUUGAUGAACAAAUUAUCAAUAGUUCUUAGAAAGAUACAGUACUUGCUGAGAAAUGAGACAGAGUAGAGUUGUACUGGACAUAUUUUGUUAUUUCAGUACAUCAAAUCCAGAAAAUGAAGAAAUUGAUUCAGACUCAAGAAAAUGUUUUUGGCUAAUGUAAUGGCAUCAGAAGAAAUUUCGGGUUUGUCUCAGUUUGGUCACUUAGAAACUGUAGGAGAAGAAAAAAAUUUAAUGACUUUUUAUGUGGGUUAAUGGGUUUGUUGAUACUGAUGUGUUUAAUGAAGUUUUGUUUUAUUCACA